AUUGAACGCUGGCGGCAGGCCUAACACAUGCAAGUCGAACGAGUGGCGGAAGGGUGAGUAAUGUCUGGGCAACUGCCCGAUGGAGGGGGAUAACUACCGGAAACGGUAGCUAAUACCGCAUACCAGCGGAUGUGCCCAGAUGGGUUUAGCUAGUGGGUGGGGUAAAGGCUCACCAAGGCGACGAUCCCUAGCGGGUCUGAGAGGAUGACCAGUCACACUGGAACUUAGACACGGUCCAGACUCCUACGGGAGGCAGCAGUGGGGAAUAUUGCACAAUGGGCGCAAGCCUGAUGCAGCCAUGCCGCGUGUAUGAAGAAGGUCUUCGGGUUGUAAAGUACUUUCAGCGAGGAGGCGUUACUCGCAGAAGAAGCACCGGCUAACUCCGUGCCAGCAGCCGCGGUAAUAC
rnacentral:rRNA from 1 species